GUGUGAGUUGGUGAUUGGAUGGCAUGGGUUGGCAGGCUCCUUGCUUUAUGCAUCGAACUGUUGGCACUCCAUCCGCUUCAGUUUUAUCCCCGAGCGAUUUUCUUGGCUUGUGGGUUCGUUUGGUAUCCUGUGUUGCUUACCCACGUAUGGGAAUUGAUCAGUUUCGGUGCUCUCAUCCACCUUGCGCCUUCUGGGGUGCGGGGUGGACGCGAGGCAGGCUUCGUGUUCCCGGUGGGUCUCGUGCUAAGUUGCGUGGCCAUCUUGGCCCAUGGAGUCUUUGCUCGUGCUCUCGGAUGCGGAAUGUUUAUGCGUGGGCAUGGGGCCUCGGCCUUGAUCCGCCUGAGCUUUACGCAUUUUCGUUUGACACGAACGACGGUCGCUCCCGUCUCGAUCCUGCUGUGCGGGUCGUGCGGGUGUUGGCGUCGCUAAGGAAUGC
rnacentral:misc_RNA from 1 species